GAUGAACGCUGGCGGCGGGCCUAAUACAUGCAAGUCGAGCGAACAGACGAGGAGCUUGCUCCUCUAAGGGUAGCGGGGGACGGGCGGGUAAGACGUGCAUAACCUUCCAAUAUUACGGGGAUAACUACGGAGAACCACUUCUAAUACCGGCGCAUACGUCGAACCGCAGGGAGCAAUGGUGAAACGGGCCUUGCCCGACUCUAUGAGACGAUGCCGGAUUAGCUAGUUGGCGGGGUAACGGCACACCAAGGCGACGAUGCGUAGCUGAUCUGAGAGGAUGAUCGGCCACACUGGAACUGAGACACGGUCCAGACUCCUACGGGAGGCAGCAGUAGGGAAUAUUGCACAAUGGGCGCAAGCCUGAUGCAGCAACGCCGCGUGAGUGAAGAAGGUCUUCGGGUCGUAAAGCUCUGUUGUUAGGGAAGAACAAAUGUGUAAUUAUAUAUGCACGUCUUGACGGUACCCAAACAGUAAGCACCGGCUAACUACGUG
rnacentral:rRNA from 1 species